GAUGAAGAACGUAGCGAAAUGCGAUAAGUAGUGUGAAUUGCAGAAUUCAGUGAAUCAUCGAAUCUUUGAACGCACAUUGCGCCCCAUGGUAUUCCGUGGGGCAUGCCUGUUCGAGCGUCAUUUACCCCCUCAAGCUCCGCUUGGUGUUGGGCGUCUGUCCCGCUUCGCGCGCGGACUCGCCCCAAAGGUAUUGGCAGCGGUCGUGCCAGCUUCUCGCGCAGCACAUUGCGCUUCUCGAGGCACCGGUGGGCCCGCGUCCAUCAAGCUCACCCCCCCAGUUUGACCUCGGAUCAGGUAGGGAUACCCGCUGAACUUAAGCAUAUCAAUAGCGGGGA
rnacentral:misc_RNA from 1 species